AUGGGCAUCAAUACGGUCUGCUGCUCUGCCAUGUGGUCCCUCCAUGUAUCCCCCUGGACCUCAGUGGCCAGACGCUUCUUCCACUCCGGCUCAGGACGAUUAAGAUUUCUUGAGGAUAACCUCCCUCAUGGUCCAAAAGCUCUCUUGUCCACGUCUCACAUGGCUACAUGGGAAAAUCAAGUGGGGAUCAGAUUUAGUUGUCUUGAUGGGGAAUCACCCCAACAUGAACUAGGUAAUCAAUCUUUCUCAUGGUUUUCGAUGCAACAAAGGAGGUGUGGUGCCAUCAGUUUGAAGCGGACCAUGCAGUUACAAAAUUGUCGUCGUCAGGAAGGUUGCUGA
rnacentral:rRNA from 1 species